UACGGGAGGAGCAGUGGGGAAUAUUGCACAAUGGGCGAAAGCCUGAUGCAGCUAUGCCGCGUGUAUGAAGAAGGCCUUAGGGUUGUAAAGUACUUUCAUCGGGGAGGAAAAAACAAAACUAAUAAUUUUAUUUCUUGACGUUACCCGAAAAAGAAGCACCGGCUAACUCCGUGCCAGCAGCCGCGGUAAUACGGAGGGUGCUAGCGUUAAUCAGAAUUACUGGGCGUAAAGAGCACGUAGGUGGUUUUUUUAAGUCAGAUGUGAAAUCCCUGGGCUUAACCUAGGAACUGCAUUUUGAAACUGAAAUACUAGAGUAUCGUAGAGGGAGGUAGAAUUCUAGGUGUAGCGGUGAAAUGCGUAGAUAUCUGGAGGAAUACCUGUGGCGAAAGCGGCCUCCUAAACGAAUACUGACACUGAGGGUGCGAAAGCGUGGGGAGCAAACAGGGAUUAGAUACC
rnacentral:rRNA from 1 species